AGGGGUUCAGCUCAGGGGUAAAGUGCCCGCUUAGCAUGCGUGAGGUCCUGGGUUCAAUCCCCAGUACCUCCU
rnacentral:tRNA from 1 species